GUAGGAUGUGGCUGCGGUUGAUUAGGUUGACGGUGGGGUAACGGCCCACCGUNCCCAUAAUCAGUACAGGUUGUGAGAGCAAGAACCUGGAGACGGAAUNUGAGACAAGAUUCCGGGCCCUACGGGGCGCAGCAGGCGCGAAACCUUUACACUGCACGCACGUGCGAUAAGGGGACUCCGAGUGCGAGGGCAUAUCGUCCUCGCUUUCGUGUACCGUAGGGUGGUACACCAACAAGGGCUGGGCAAGACCGGUGCCAGCCGCCGCGGUAAUACCGGCAGCCCGAGUGAUGACCGAUCUUAUUGGGCCUAAAGCGUCCGUAGCUGGCUACGCAAGUCCGUCGGGAAAUCCACUCGCCCAACGAGUGGGCGUCCGACGGAAACUGCAUAGCUUGGGACCGGAAGGCUCGAAGGGUACGUGCGGGGUAGGAGUGAAAUCCUAUAAUCCCGCACGGACCACCGAUGGCGAAAGCACUUCGAGAAAACGGAUCCGACAGUGAGGGACGAAAGCCAGGGUCUCCAACCGGAUUAGAUACCCGGGUAGUCCUGGCCGUAAACAAUGUUCGCUAGGUAUGACACAGACUACGUGUCUCUGUUGUGCCGUAGGGAAGCCGAGAAGCGAACCGCCUGGGAAGUACGUCUGCAAGGAUGAAACUUAAAGGAAUUGGCGGGGGAGCACUACAACCGGAGGAGCCUGCGGUUUAAUUGGAUUC
rnacentral:rRNA from 1 species